CGUUUCUAAAGUGCAUAAACUUUUGGGAUUGACUGUAUAGCCAAUACAUCCUUAAAUGUCAGACUGUCGAUGUUAUACAUUCGAGAAAUAUUCAUAACACUUAUACUGCAAAGUAAAAAUUUAAUUUUUGCACGUGUGCAUGCCAAAUUGGUUGAUAAUCGUUUCGGCUAGCUCUACGUAGACGUAGACGGUAAAAGUAUAAUCAGGCUCGAAGUAGGUAGACUUCAAACUAACCGGAUCGAUAUGCCACUCUCGCUUUCUCAUUUUCCCGAUACAUACACCGCGUCGUAUUUAUAAUACCCGGUAAAAGUUUCAACAUCCUACGUUGAGCAUUAAAUAAUUCAUUACACGUUGGUGUUCGAUUAAUUAAAACAAAUACAUCGCAUAUUUUAGUCAACAUAUCUUUCCAUAAAUGUAUAUUACAUUCUAAAAUGAAGCGCUGUAUCGAAUAGAUCUAUAGAAACGAUCGUUUUUAUUUUGUCUUCAUACAUAACACAUCAAAACAUAAAAUACGCUACGCAAACAAUGUUCGCAAAGUUCAAUUUAAUUGCAAUUAUGAGUUGCUGCGUUUAACAUCGAAAAUAGAUAGGUCGGUAAUCAAGAAACUUAUAAAUUCUUCCGUCGGUAGUAUUUUAAAUAAAUAAAAUUGUCAACCAAUAUUAUUUUCAUACGUUUUCAAUUACACAUUUCGUCGAUUAUUGGUCACAUAAAAAACUAGAUGAAUUUUUAACUAGACGAACAGUAACUAAAUAAUCUAUUGCAUCGUACUGUUAAAAAAGCGUUGGUUUCGAGAAGAUGCCGAGGUUCGGCACGCGAAGGGCAUUAAAUUCUUAGUUUUCGUCACCCGAUUUCAUAACUCUAGUUUUUUUGGAUGAAAAAACCAAGGCCAUAACAGCAAUUAUGAAACCCACUUCCCGUCGGAACGUACCGGCCGGAGGACAACAAGUACAUAAAGAAGUUGGAACAACUUACCUCGGUACUCAUACACAAUUUUCUAUAUCCAUUAGAGAUUAAAAAUUUUCAACCACAAGAAAAAUAUUGGAGCAAUGGCCGAUUCCACAACUCACGAGAAGCAGAAAACUCGAUGGCUCCGGAUUGUCGCUCGUGUGGCGCCAUCGCACGUUUUACGACCCACACGAGAAUUACGCACGUGAGCAUGGGUCUAAAGCAAAGACAAACCACGUCUCCACGGGAAAAGAUCAAAGGAGUGAAUCGAAUAUUCCCUUCCACGGUACAGUGUCCUUUGUGGGAGACGGGGAACGAAAGAAGAGGGGAUAAUGGCGG